rnacentral:lncRNA from 1 species
GUUGUUACCGAUGACAAAAUGAGAUCAAUUUUGAUAUUGAUAAUUUUCACUUUUGUCGUUCAGGAGUUAUGGUUCUUAUUGAUUAAAGGCAAAAACUUUUAGAACUGUUCCAUUAAUUUUAUUUCAAGUUUUAAUAGGUUGUUACUUAUGGCCAAAUUGAUGUCAACUUCUAUAUUGACAAUAUUUUAAUAUUGCAUUCAGGUGUAACGGCCCAUAAAUAAAUGUAAUGAAAACCAAGUAUGCUGUAAUUUUGACAGCCACUUGUUUGUGCAUUGUGUUUGCUGAUAGCUAGUCAGGUCCUUGACACAGGACACAUACAUUGUUUAAUGUUAAUAUGCACAAUUACAUUAGAUCCCUCAAAGUUUGAAUUCUAUGUUUCAGUGUAACACACAUUAUUUUAAUUUUGUGCGAGUGUAGUAUAGGAAUUUUCAAAACUCAUCCAUUUUUACCACUUAUAUUUCCAUCACACUUUCUCAG